GAGUUUGAUCCUUCCUCAGAUUGAACGCUGGCGGCAGGCCUAACACAUGCAAGUCGAGCGGUAGAGAGGUGCUUGCACCUCUUGAGAGCGGCGGACGGGUGAGUAAAGCCUAGGAAUCUGCCUGGUAGUGGGGGAUAACGCUCGGAAACGGACGCUAAUACCGCAUACGUCCUACGGGAGAAAGCAGGGGACCUUCGGGCCUUGCGCUAUCAGAUGAGCCUAGGUCGGAUUAGCUAGUUGGUGAGGUAAUGGCUCACCAAGGCGACGAUCCGUAACUGGUCUGAGAGGAUGAUCAGUCACACUGGAACUGAGACACGGUCCAGACUCCUACGGGAGGCAGCAGUGGGGAAUAUUGGACAAUGGGCGAAAGCCUGAUCCAGCCAUGCCGCGUGUGUGAAGAAGGUCUUCGGAUUGUAAAGCACUUUAAGUUGGGAGGAAGGGCAUUAACCUAAUACGUUAGUGUUUUGACGUUACCGACAGAAUAAGCACCGGCUAACUCUGUGCCAGCAGCCGCGGUAAUACAGAGGGUGCAAGCGUUAAUCGGAAUUACUGGGCGUAAAGCGCGCGUAGGUGGUUCGUUAAGUUGGAUGUGAAAUCCCCGGGCUCAACCUGGGAACUGCAUUCAAAACUGUCGAGCUAGAGUAUGGUAGAGGGUGGUGGAAUUUCCUGUGUAGCGGUGAAAUGCGUAGAUAUAGGAAGGAACACCAGUGGCGAAGGCGACCACCUGGACUGAUACUGACACUGAGGUGCGAAAGCGUGNGGAGCAAACAGGAUUAGAUACCCUGGUAGUCCACGCCGUNAACGAUGUCAACUAGCCGUUGGGAGCCUUGAGCUCUUAGUGGCGCAGCUAACGCAUUAAGUUGACCGCCUGGGGAGUACGGCCCGCAGGUAAAACUCAAUGAAUUGACGGGGA
rnacentral:rRNA from 1 species